rnacentral:rRNA from 1 species
CGACGGAUCGGAGCAUCCGGUUAGUGGCGAACGGGUGAGUAACGCGUUGGUGACCUGCCCCGAAGCGGGGGAUAACAGACCGAAAGGUUUGCUAAAACCGCAUAAUUUAACCAUUGGUGAAGCAUGGAUAAGAAAGCCGAAAGGUGCUUUGGGAGGGGCCUGCGUCCCAUCAGCUAGUUGGUAAGGUAACGGCCUACCAAGGCGAUGACGGGUAGGGGACCUGAGAGGGUGGCCCCCCACAAUGGAACUGAAACACGGUCCAUACACCUACGGGUGGCAGCAGUAGGGAAUAUUGCUUAAUGGGCGAAAGCCUGAAGCAGCAACGCCGCGUGUGCGAUGAAGGCCUUCGGGUUGUAAAGCACUUUUGGCUGGGAAGAGGAAGGACGGUACCAGCCGAAUCAGCCUCGGCUAACUACGUGCCAGCAGCCGCGGUAAAACGUAGGAGGCGAGCGUUAUCCGGAUUUACUGGGUGUAAAGCGCGUGCAGGCGGUUUGCUAAGUUGGGUGUGAAAGCUCCCGGCUCAACUGGGAGAGGUCGCUCAAGACUGGCAGACUGGAGAGUGGUAGGGGAAGGUGGAAUUCCGGGUGUAGUGGUGAAAUGCGUAGAUAUCCGGAGGAACACCAGUGGCGAAAGCGGCUUUCUGGACUGUAACUGACGCUCAGACGCGAAAGCUAGGGUAGCAAACGGGAUUAGAGACCCCGGUAGUCCUAGCCGUAAACGAUGUAGACUUGGCGU